UACGUAGGGUGCAAGCGUUAAUCGGAAUUACUGGGCGUAAAGCGUGCGCAGGCGGUUUUGUAAGUCUGUCGUGAAAUCCCCGGGCUCAACCUGGGAAUUGCGAUGGAGACUGCAAGGCUAGAAUCUGGCAGAGGGGGGUAGAAUUCCACGUGUAGCAGUGAAAUGCGUAGAGAUGUGGAGGAACACCGAUGGCGAAGGCAGCCCCCCUGGGUCAAGAUUGACGCUCAUGCACGAAAGCGUGGGGAGCAAACGAGGAUUAGAGUACCCU
rnacentral:rRNA from 1 species